GACGAACGCUGGCGGCGUGCCUAAUACAUGCAAGUCGAGCGCAGGAAACUGACGGAACUCUUCGGAGGGAAGGCAGUGGAAUGAGCGGCGGACGGGUAAGUAACACGUAAGGAACCUGCCUCAAGGAUUGGGAUAACUCCGAGAAAUCGGAGCUAAUACCGGAUAGUUCAACGGACCGCAUGGUCCGCUGAUGAAAGGCGCUCCGGCGUCACCUUGAGAUGGCCUUGCGGUGCAUUAGCUAGUUGGGGGGGUAACGGCCCACCAAGGCGACGAUGCAUAGCCGACCUGAGAGGGUGAUCGGCCACACUGGGACUGAGACACGGCCCAGACUCCUACGGGAGGCAGCAGUAGGGAAUCUUCCACAAUGGACGAAAGUCUGAUGGAGCAACGCCGCGUGAGUGAUGAAGGUUUUCGGAUCGUAAAACUCUGUUGUAAGGGAAGAACACGUACGAGAGGGAAUGCUCGUACCUUGACGGUACCUUACGAGAAAGCCACGGCUAACUACGUGCCAGCAGCCGCGGUAACAC
rnacentral:rRNA from 1 species